rnacentral:tRNA from 1 species
GGCAACUUGCCAGAGUGGUUAAUGGGUGAGACUUGAACCUACCUUCUAGGGCAAUCUCAUGGGCUCCGCCCACACAGGUUCGAACCCUGUAGUUGUCG